CUUCACUGCAGUAAGUUCUAUUUGAAGAUCGGAAACCCUCGCCUUCGUUCUACAUCACAAUCAAACAAGGAUAGAAUCGAGCAUUUUCAUGAUUUCUUGCACAGAAAGUUCUUCAGUCAUUGGGGUGUUGGGGAGACUUUCCUCCAAUGAAGUUUACAUUCUCCGUGACGAGAAAGAAGCUGCAAGGGGUGUCAUCCGCUACGUAGAUGAAGUUGUUGUUGCACAUUGUGACGUAUCAAUCAAGUAGAAAAGAUGAAUCACAUAUAAUGGGGCCAUUUGCUUGCA